rnacentral:rRNA from 1 species
GACUCUCGACAACGGAUAUCUCGUCUCUUGUCACGAUGAAGAACAUAGUGAAAUGUGAUACUUAGUGUGAAUUGUAGAAUCUCAUGAAUCAUCAGUUUUUGAACGCAAUUUGCGCCCGAGGCCUCAGUCGAGGGCACAUCUGUCUAGGCAUCG